rnacentral:lncRNA from 1 species
AGGCAGAAGGCUGUGAUGGGGAAAGGAGCACAUGGACAGGCAUUAAGCAUCUGGAAGAGGCUCUGGGAGGGUCCAAACAACAAACCACGCGGCGUUCUCUGGUGGCUGUGCUGGGACGAGUGGGCGGAAACAGCCGCAGGUCUCUCUCUUCUCUUCAGCCUGAAACUCACUGCACAAAUACCAGAGGUUUUUUUUAGAGAUUAGAUAAAUUUGCAUCCUUCUCCCCCCAACCCCGCCCCUAAGCCAGAGGAAGUGCUUGAGGAAGUAAUGUGUUUAAAGAAUGUGGGGGAGGGGAGCUUACAUUAGGAAGCAGGACUCUUAGCGUGUAGCCAGAAACCCCAAUAACCUUUAAGCUGUUAACCCUUGAGGAUACGGCUCAAUGGUGUACCCACGUGGAGUUCAUUAUUUAUCUCCGAAAGCCCUGUCUGUCUCUCAUUCCGACCCUUAAACGAAUCAUCUGCAGUUUGGCCAACAAUUCAGUUCCAGCUCCCUGGGAAUACCAGCAAAUCCCGGGACAGCUGUUCCUUCUGCUGAAAACACCAGGAAAAUCCGCCCAGGAGCUCAGGCUGUUUGACCAGAAAGCCUGGUGUUGGUCACUGUCAGAGAGCACGAACAGAGGGAAGAGGAGGUCCUUGGCUGGGUCCUUCAUUUUUUUCUUUUUUUUUUUUUUUUUUUUUUUUUGUCCUUGGGAGCUUGGAUGAGCUUGUCUUUGAUGCCUUAAUUGUUUCUGCACUCUUUUCUCCCUUUCAUAAAUCCAUUGAAACGAUAUAUAUAUUUAAGAGUAAGGCAAACCUCAAAUUAGGCUGUCUGUAGAACUGAGCCUCUGCAAAGAGAGUAAUUAAAUUAUUGGCAUGAAACGGCAGGAACCCUGGAGGGGACGGCAGGGAGAAGGCACUAGUAAAAGUGGAAGGAAACUACUUGGGAAGAUAUUGGUGCCUGUGCUGGGGAAUGACAUAUACCCAAACCAUUUCUCAUCAGACUUGAAAAUACCGUAUACAUCUGUGUAUGUCAGCGGAUGUGCGGCAGAUUCCCCUGCCCCACUGGUCUGUCUGAAUGUUCUGUCUCUGUUUAGCCUGGGUGAGAUGGAGGAGGAUUCCCUCUUAGGGGCUUGCCACGCCACCCCUCCUCCACAGUGUGGAAAUAAAAAUCUUGAGUUCCUUUAAGGAAAAUUGCAGGCACCUAGCUAUCCCUGAGAAAUUAAUGAGCAACUUCAUAAGUAAAAAGGUAAUCAUACCAUAAAACAAUAGCAAUAAAAUUAGAGCCAUGAGAUGUUUGGUUCCCUAUAGAAACUGAAGAUACAUCUUAACAUAUGUUCCUGAGUUAUUUUUCAGAAACCCAGACCUCUACCAAAUGGAUCUGCUGGCACGCAGACCUCAGAAAAGGGGAAACUGAGGACUGAACUCUGACUGCUAUUUCUUGUUCUGCAUUUUUUCUUGAAGGACCUGAAGGAAGUCACGCCCAUGGGCCAGACCUAACGUUCUUUAAUGCUGACUCUCAAUUUUUAAAUAGAGCUUCCCUUCCUUAACCAACUGCAAAUCAGAAAAUUGUUGAAUCCCCUACCCCGUGACCUGUAAGCCCCUGCUUCAAGAUAUCCUGUGUGUUAAGGUCAAACCAAUAUGUAGCCUCCAUGUAUUGACUUAUGACUUUGUGUGUAACCUCUGCCUGCCUGCCUUUAGAAACCCUUGCUUGCAAGCCACUGGGAAGGUCAGGUGAGCUGCCUGAUUCUCCUUGCUGGGUGCCCUGAAAAUAAACACCCUCCUUUCUCUCACUACAAAACCUCAGUUUGAAUGUUUGGCUUCACUGCCCUGGAGGCACAGACCUCAGUUCAGUUGGGCAACAUGGGUCUCGGGGUGCUGAAAGCCACUUUUUAUUUUCAUUAGGGACUUGCUCAUGCCAAACAUCCUGAAUUUAAGUAGAACUUACUAGGUUUGGGGUGUUUGUGGGAUGGGGUCCCCUUGUGGAGCCCUGAGCCUUCUGCCAUCCCCUAUCUCUGGUCCCCACUAAUUUUUUUUUUUUUUUUUUGAGAUGACAUUUUGCUCUGUCACCCAGUCUGGAAUGCAGUGGCACAAUUUCAACUGACUGCAACCUCCACGUCUCAGGUUCAAGCCAUUCUCCUGCCUAGCCUCCCAAGUAGCUAGGAUUACAGGCAUGUGCCAUCACACCCGUAAUGUUUGUAUUUUUAGUAGAGAUGGGAUUUCAUCACAUUGGCCAGGCUGGUCUCAAACUCCUGACCUCAAGUGAUCCACCUGCCUUGGCCUCCCAAAAUGCUGAGAUUACAGGCAUGAGCCACCCCAUGCCUGGCCCCUCUGGUUCUCACUAAUUCUAACCUGGAUUGGCUCCUUUGUGCUCCAAUUCUUUCCCUGCUUCAAUGCAAAGGUUUCACUUUCCUUUGAGGCCUUACUGUACAGGCCAACAUCCCGGAGGUGUCAGCCUCUGUCCCCAGUUGACUUUCACAAGCCCACCAAGCACUUGGCAAAAUAAAGGCCUUCCUGUUAACACCAUCUGGUGUUAGGGUACACUGGGUAGCAAAAAUGUGUCCCUUCUGCAUACAUAAUCCACAUAUCCCCAAGCUUUCUCUGUCCACGGUAAUGGCUUGAGCCUCCACUCCUGUGGCCCUUCAGCAAAUCCAGUCCUCUCACCUCCCCAUAUUUUUAAGGGUCCCUUAGGGAGGGGCCAGUUACCUAUUGUCUUACUCUAGAAGUCAUUGCUUGGGUCCUCUUGCAGGUUAACUCUGGCCUUUUGGCAGCUCCUAAUCUGUGCCGCAGAGCUGCCCUCAGCUCAGCCUCUCUGCAGCAGGGUGGGUACAGGAGCCCCCUUCCCACUCCCUGGAGAAUGGUGAACAUUCUCACUACUGAUCGUCUCUGCCUCCACCCUUGCCUGCUCCUGCCCUGCCCUGGAGCUCACCUCCUGGCCCAGAAUCUCUUGCUCCCUGUGAUGGUUAAUAAUGUCAAUUUGAUUGGAUUGAAGGAUGCAAGUAUUGAUCCUGGGUGUGUCUCUGAAGGUGUUGCCAAAGGAGAGUAACAUUUGAGUCAGUGGGCUGAGGAAGGCAGACCCACCCUUAAUCUGGGUGGGCACUAUCUAAUCAGCUGCCAGUGUGGCCAGGAUAUAAAGCAGGCAGAAAAACAUGAAAAAGCUAGAUUGGCUUAGCCUCCCAGCCUACAUGUUUCUCAUGUGCUGGAUGCUUCCUGCCCUCAAACAUCAGACAAGUUCUUCAGCUUUGGAACUUGGACUGGCUUCCUUGCUCCUCAGCUUGCAGAUGGCCUAUUGUGGGACUCUGUGAUCCUCUAAGCUAAUACUACUUAAUAAACUCCCCUUUAUAUAUAUCUAUCUAUCCUAUUAGUUCUGUCCCUCUAGAGAACCCUG